rnacentral:rRNA from 1 species
UACGUAGGGCGCGAGCGUUGUCCGGAAUUAUUGGGCGUAAAGAGCUCGUAGGUGGCUUGUCGCGUCUGCCGUGAAAGCCCGUGGCUUAACUACGGGUCUGCGGUGGAUACGGGCAGGCUAGAGGCUGGUAGGGGCAAGUGGAAUUCCUGGUGUAGCGGUGAAAUGCGCAGAUAUCAGGAGGAACACCGGUGGCGAAGGCGGCUUGCUGGGCCAGUUCUGACGCUGAGGAGCGAAAGCGUGGGGAGCGAACAGGAUUAGAUACCCUGGUAGUCCACGCUGUAAACGUUGGGCGCUAGGUGUGGGGGUCUUCCACGAUUCCUGUGCCGUAGCUAACGCAUUAAGCGCCCCGCCUGGGGAGUACGGCCGCAAGGCUAAA